rnacentral:rRNA from 1 species
CACGGAGGAUGCGAGCGUUAUCCGGAUUUAUUGGGUUUAAAGGGUGCGUAGGCGGGAUGCCAAGUCAGCGGUAAAAAUGCGGUGCUCAACGCCGUCGAGCCGUUGAAACUGGCGUUCUUGAGUGGGCGAGAAGUAUGCGGAAUGCGUGGUGUAGCGGUGAAAUGCAUAGAUAUCACGCAGAACUCCGAUUGCGAAGACAGCAUACCGGCGCCCUACUGACGCUGAGGCACGAAAGCGUGGGUAUCGAACAGG